UACGUAGGGGGCAAGCGUUGUCCGGAAUCAUUGGGCGUAAAGCGCGUGUAGGCGGCUCGAUAAGUCCGCUGUGAAAGGCCGGGGCUCAACCCCGUGCUGGCCUCGGAUACUGUUUGACUGGAGACACGUAGAGGCGAGCGGAAUUCCGGGUGUAGCGGUGGAAUGCGUAGAGAUCCGGAAGAACACCGGAGGCGAAGGCGGCUCGCUGGGCGUGGUCUGACGCUGAGGCGCGAAGGCGUGGGGAGCGAACAGG
rnacentral:rRNA from 1 species